GCUCCCGUCGCCUUCUUCGAGUGCCCGAAGCUCUGCCUAAAAACGGGUAACAACGGCCAGUUACAUUAGGCAAACCACUGGUUGCAGAUUUGGCUCAAAAAUCACAAGGCAUUCAUGAAAGAUUUACACCUUUGCUGUAAAGGCUUUUCCUAAGGUGAAAUAUUCAGUAGAGGCACCACAGCUCAAUAGCAGUGGUGUAGUGUCUGCUUCUUAAUGCAAGAAGUCUGGCAGUGAAAAUAAAGUGACAUUUCUGCAAAA